UACGUAGGGUGCGAGCGUUGUCCGGAAUUAUUGGGCGUAAAGGGCUCGUAGGCGGUUUGUCGCGUCGGGAGUGAAAACUCAGGGCUUAACCCUGAGCCUGCUUCCGAUACGGGCAGACUAGAGGUAUGCAGGGGAGAAUGGAAUUCCUGGUGUAGCGGUGAAAUGCGCAGAUAUCAGGAGGAACACCAGUGGCGAAGGCGGUUCUCUGGGCAUUACCUGACGCUGAGGUGCGAAAGCGUGGGGAGCAAACAGG
rnacentral:rRNA from 1 species